AAAAUACCAAAAAUGUAGUUGAUCUUACUUUUAAAAAAAUAAAAAAAUCAACACAACAAAAUUUCAUAAUAGUUGAAACGAAGGAAAUAUAUCAAAAGUAUUGCAAUUUUUUGCCAUUUCAUUUUUUGUCUGUUUUUCGAAGUAAAGCAAAGAUAGAAAAACUUGACCAAAAAUCUACAAAUAAAAUACGCGUGUUGAGUAGACAUGACUUUACCUCUGCUGUAAAUGUGCUUAAGCGACAUUUCAAUUUGAGACGUUCACGAGAUAGUAACAAUUCUGUCUCGGAUAUAGUAGCUAGGAGCAAAAUCAUUCAUGGGAAAGAAUGCCGCUUCGCUCGCUUCACGGUAAGAUUAAACUUAAGAUGGUAGAGAAGAGCGGCCGACAAUGAAGGAUUCAAAUGAUCCUAAUAUUACCAAUUUAUCUUUCCGCAUUUUUUAUACCUGACAUUGCUUUCACUUAAAUUUUAUAUUAUUUUUAUUUUGUUCAGUAACAAAUCCCUUUUAAUCCCUCUAAGUAAUUAAUGCAAUCGAUAUUUCUUUACGCAUGCUUUCAAUAAGUUUGUCUAAAGGUGGCUUCUUUUAUGUUCUGAGAAAGUCAAAAACGUUUAUUCCGUCUAGUUACGUUUGAAAUCUUGUGGCUUAAACAUCUUGUUUUCCAGAUUUGUCGAUUGCGCUAUUUAUUUAUACUUAACUCAUAGCUUGGUUUAACUUGUCCGGAAC